rnacentral:piRNA from 1 species
UGAGGUGGUGAGAGAACUGUUUUCCCU